AUUUAAAUAGCUUAUUUAUCAGAGCAUAAUACUGAAGAUAUUAGGGUGACCUUAGUGGGUCUUUAAGUA
rnacentral:tRNA from 1 species